UCCUCCUCUGCCCCUGCUCUCCACCCUUUGCUCUCCAUCUCUUCUCCCUCUAUUUUUUUCCCCUCUACCACCUGCAAGAAAAAAUAUAAGAUAUACAGUUGUUCUCCGUCUCUUCUCGCAACCCGCAACCCAUGCCCAACUCCCCUACCAUCUCCCUUUGUUUUUGCUCUUCUCCUCUGUUUUUUAUUAAACCUUCCAGAUAUUCAACCUUCCAGCUUCACUCAAGCACAACCCAGAAAAGCAAACCAAAAAGAACUCACUUUCAAGUAGAUUCCAACUCCACAAAGAACACGAAAAUGAAAGUUCAACAGUACAUGAGGAAUAUUGUAGAUGUUUGGUCACUUUCAAAUCCAUCCAUGGUUUAUCACAACAUAUAAUUUACAUCCUGAGUCACAAAAGCUCCUUCGUCCUCCACACACAGCAUGAAAUGGGCAAAGUGGAUUUGAAAAUUUAAGUAGGAUUGUGGAACAUUACAAGGCCACACUUGAACUUGAAAUAAAACCCACUUGGCCUCACCAUUAUUUCGACUAAA
rnacentral:lncRNA from 1 species